AUUGAACGCUGGCGGCAUGCCUUACACAUGCAAGUCGAACGGCUGCACGGGAGCAAUCCUGGUGGCGAGUGGCGAACGGGUGAGUAAUACAUCGGAACGUGCCCAGUAGUGGGGGAUAGCCCGGCGAAAGCCGGAUUAAUACCGCAUACGACCUGAGGGUGAAAGCGGGGGAUCGCAAGACCUCGCGCUAUUGGAGCGGCCGAUGUCGGAUUAGCUAGUUGGUGGGGUAAAGGCUCACCAAGGCAACGAUCCGUAGCUGGUCUGAGAGGACGACCAGACACAUGGCGACUGAGACACGGCCCAGACUCCUACGGGAGGCAGCAGUGGGGAAUUUUGGACAAUGGGCGCAAGCCUGAUCCAGCCAUGCCGCGGGCGGGAAGAAGGCCUUCGGGUUGUAAACCGCUUUUGUCAGGGAAGAAACGCGCUGGGUUAAUACCUUGGCGUAAUGACGGUACCUGAAGAAUAAGCACCGGCUAACUACGUGCCAGCCGCCGCAGUAAUAC
rnacentral:rRNA from 1 species